GAAUAGCUCAGUUGGUAGAGCACGACCUUGCCAAGGUCGGGGUCGCGAGUUCGAGUCUCGUUUCCCGCUCCA
rnacentral:tRNA from 37 species